rnacentral:rRNA from 1 species
CCACUAUAAAAAUAAUAAUUUACUUUUAUUAUUAAAAUUCUUUUUUUUAGAUAAAAAUUAAGUCAAGGUGCAGCUUAAGGCUAAGAAUGAAGUGAAUUACAUUUCUUAAAAGAAAAGAAAAGUGAAACAAAAUAUUAGGAUUUGAUAGUAAAAUUAAAAUAAAAAGUUAAUUUGAAUUAAGCUCUAAGAUAU